UACGUAGGGUGCAAGCGUUGUCCGGAAUUAUUGGGCGUAAAGAGCUCGUAGGCGGUCUGUCGCGUCUGGUGUGAAAAUCCAGGGCUUAACCCUGGACCUGCAUCGGGUACGGGCAGACUAGAGUGCGGUAGGGGAGAUCGGAAUUCCUGGUGUAGCGGUGAAAUGCGCAGAUAUCAGGAGGAACACCGGUGGCGAAGGCGGAUCUCUGGGCCGUAACUGACGCUGAGGAGCGAAAGCAUGGGGAGC
rnacentral:rRNA from 1 species